AAGGUGACAGAUGAAUGCAUCCAAAUCAUGGGGGGUAUGGGCUUCAUGAAGGAACCUGGAGUAGAGCGUGUGCUCCGAGAUCUUCGCAUCUUCCGGAUCUUUGAGGGGACAAAUGACAUUCUUCGGCUGUUUGUGGCUCUGCAGGGCUGUAUGGCGGGCAGGGCUGGGCAGCGGCCUGAGUCUCAGUGGACUUGUCCACCCGGAGUUGAGUCGGAGCGGCGAGCUGGCAGUACAGGCUCUGGAGCAGUUUGCCACUGUGGUGGAGGCCAAGCUGAUAAAACACAAGAAGGGGAUUGUCAGUGAGGAGGCAGGCAGGGAAUGCCUGAGCCGCAGGGGGCCUGGGCCUGGAUCCCAGCCGGCCCAGAUUUAUUUUCAUCUCCUGCUUCCUGCCAGGGCCUCAAGAUCCCUAA
rnacentral:sRNA from 1 species